GAUCUCAUGGCUGCUUUCGGUUCCGCUAUGACAUGCGGAUGAAAAGGGAAUGCCGGUGCGGACUACCCAUCAGGGGCCAAGACCGGAGCUGCCCUCGCAACUGUAAGCGGCGAGCGGCCUGCCAUCACCACUGAUCGUUUCGAUCGGGAAGGGGCAAGGCGCGACCGAGCCGCAAGCCAGGAGACCUGCCGCAAGCGCAAGACCAUG
rnacentral:ncRNA from 2 species